rnacentral:piRNA from 1 species
UCUAUGGCAUUGAGUGAGGAGAGAGAUGGU